UGUGGGGAGCUGUGGGGCACUGUGAGAUGCUGUGGGGCACUGUGAGAUGCUAUGUGAUGCUGUGAGGUGCUGUGAGAUCCUAUGGGGUGCUGUGGGGUGCUGUGAGAUGCUGUGGGGUGCUGUGAUGCUGUGGGGCGCUGUGAGAUGCUAUGGGGUGCUGUGGGAUCCUAUGGGUGCUGUGGGAUCCUAUGGGGAGCUGUGGGGUGCUGUUGGAUCCUAUGGGGCACUGUGAGAUCCUAUGGGUGCUGUGGGAUCCUAUGGGGGGCUGUGGGGCACUGUGAGGUGCUAUGUGAUGCUGUGAGGUGCUGUGAGAUCCUAUGGGGCGCUGUGGGGUGCUGUGAGAUGCUAUGGGGUGCUGUGAGAUGCUAUGGGGCGCAGUGGGGCGCUUCCGCGCGGCGCCCGGCACAAACCGGGUUUUGUCCGCCGGGGUUUCGGGGCGGCGGCGGUUCUGACACUGCGGUCCUGCUGAGCUCCUGCCCUUGUCUCGCAGCUGCAGUUCGUGGCCAAAUCCGGGGACAGCGGCGGCGGCACCUACAGCGUCAGUAUCCUUGGGGGUGGGACGGUGGUCCCUACAGUGUCAGCAUCCUCUGUGGGGUGGGACGGUGGUCCCUACAGCGCCAGCAUCCUUUGUGGGGUGAGAUGGUGGUCCCUACAGUGCCAGCAUCCUCUGUGGGGUGAGAUGGUGGUCCCUACAGCGUCAGCAUCCUCUGUGG
rnacentral:lncRNA from 1 species